rnacentral:rRNA from 1 species
AUACGUAUGUCGCAAGCGUUAUCCGGAAUUAUUGGGCGUAAAGCGAGUCUAGGCGGCUUGUUAAGUCAGAUGUGAAAAUGCGGGGCUCAACUCCGUAUUGCGUUUGAAGCUGGCAGGCUAGAGUACUGGAGAGGUGGGCGGAACUACAAGUGUAGAGGUGAAAUUCGUAGAUAUUUGUAGGAAUGCCGAUAGUGAAGACAGCUCACUGGACAGAUACUGACGCUAAAGCUCGAAAGCGUGGGGAGCGAACAGGAUUAGAAACCCCGGUAGUCC